rnacentral:lncRNA from 1 species
UUAAUAAAUAAUAAUCAACUAGAGUAAGCGAUGAUGAGUGAGUGUGAAAGACUAAGGCAGCGUUUGGUUAGGGGAUAGGGAUAGGAAUAGGCCCUUAUCCCCCUUUUUAUAUCCAAACACUAAUUUUUUUACUUGAGAAUAGUAAUUCUCGGUUAUCCCUACCAACAUUUUCAUUUUUUAUAUAAAAUUAUCUAAAAUUGUUCUUAUUCCCGGGAACAACCUAAUUUUCAUCCAAAUACUAUUUUUUUUAUCCCCAUACUUGUACCUAUACCUGUAAUAAUUAGUUCUUACUUAUAUCCGAACCAAACGGUAUCUAAGGUUAUAGCAAUUUUUCCACAACC